rnacentral:rRNA from 1 species
AGAAGUCCUGGCUAACUCCGUGCCAGCAGCCGCGGUAAUACGGGGAGGGCUAGCGUUAUUCGGAAUUAUUGGGCGUAAAGGGCGCGUAGGCUGAUUAAUAAGUUAAAAGUGAAAUCCCGAGGCUUAACCUUGGAAUUGCUUUUAAAACUAUUAAUCUAGAGAUUGAAAGAGGAUAGAGGAAUUCCUGAUGUAGAGGUAAAAUUCGUAAAUAUUAGGAGGAACACCAGUGGCGAAGGCGUCUAUCUGGUUCAAAUCUGACGCUGAAGCGCGAAGGCGUGGGGAGCAAACAGGAUUAGAUACCCUGGUAGUCCACGCUGUAAACGAUGAGUGCUAA